CGUACCAGCCACUUUGGCAAAUCCGGGUGGCAAUGGGAAGCCGUGAUGCGGAGCGAAAUAAAGUAGCGAAGUCCGUGAGCCAUGCGUCAAGAAAAGCCGCUAUCGUUUAUACCGUACCCGUACCGUAAACCGACACAGGUGGAUGAGGAGAGAAUCCUAAGGCCGGCGGAAGAAGCAUUGUCAAGGAACUCGGCAAAAUGGCCCCGUAACUUAGGGAUAAGGGGUGCCUGGGAAACCAGGCCGCAGAGAAUAGGCUCAAGCAACUGUUUAGCAAAAACACAGGUCUAUGCGAAACCGAAAGGUGAGGUAUAUGGGCUGACGCCUGCCCGGUGCUGGAAGGUUAAGAGGAGAGGUUAGCGCAAGCGAAGCUUUGAAUUUAAGCCCCAGUAAACGGCGGCCGUAACAAUAACGGUCCUAAGGUAGCGAAAUUCCUUGUCGGGUAAGUUCCGACCCGCACGAAAGGCGUAAUGAUUUGAGCGCUGUCUCGACAAUGCAUCCGGUGAAAUUGAAGUACCAGUGAAGAUGCUGGUUACCUGCGCCAGGACGGAAAGACCCCAUGGAGCUUUACUCCAGUCUGGUACUGGGACUCGGUAUUGCAUGUACAGGAUAGGUGGGAGGCUGAGAAAUGGUAACGCCAGUUGCCAUGGAGCCGCUGUUGGGAUACCACCCUUGCAGUAUUGGGUUUCUAACCAGCCGCCGUGACCCGGCGGUGGGACAAUGCCAGACGGGGAGUUUGACUGGGGCGGUCGCCUCCGAAAGGGUAUCGGAGGCGCCCAAAGGUUCCCUCAGAAUGGACGGAAACCAUUCGAAGAGUGCAAAGGCAGAAGGGAGCUUGACUGCGACACCGACGGGUGGAGCAGGUACGAAAGUAGGGCUUAGUGAUCCGGUGGUAUUAAGUGGGAAUGCCAUCGCUCAACGGAUAAAAGCUACCCUGGGAUAACAGACUUAUCACUCCCAAGAGUUCACAUCGACGGAGUGGUUUGGCACCUCGAUGUCGGCUCAUCGCAUCCUGGGGCUGUAGUAGGUCCCAAGGGUUGGGCUGUUCGCCCAUUAAAGCGGUACGCGAGCUGGGUUCAGAACGUCGUGAGACAGUUCGGUCCCUAUCCGGCGUGGGCGUAGGAUAUCUGAGAGGAGCUGUCCUUAGUACGAGAGGACCGGGAUGGACGGGCCGCUGGUGCAUCGGUUAGACUGCCAAGUCUACGGCCGAGUAGCCAAGCCCGGAAGGGAUAAACGCUGAAGGCAUCUAAGCGUGAAGCCCCCCUUAAGAUGAGAUAUCCCAUUCGAAAGAAGUAAACCCCCUUGAAGACGACGAGGUAGAUAGGGCAGAGGUGGAAGUGCAGCAAUGCAUGGAGCUGACUGUUACUAAUCGGGUGAGGGCUUGAAC
rnacentral:rRNA from 1 species